rnacentral:tRNA from 1 species
UCCCCAAUAGCUCAGUUGGUAAAGAAUCUGUCUGCAAUGCAGGAGACCCUGGUUCGAUUCCUGGGUUGGGAA